rnacentral:rRNA from 1 species
AACGAACGCUGGCGGCAGGCUUAACACAUGCAAGUCGAACGAGACCUUCGGAUCUAGUGGCAGACGGGUGAGGAACACGUGGGAACAUCCCUUUCAGUUCGGAAUAACGUUGGGAAACUAACGCUAAUACCGGAUACGUCCUUCGGGAGAAAGAUGUAUCGCUGAAAGAUUGGCCCGCGUCUGAUUAGCUAGUUGGUGAGGUAAUGGCUCACCAAGGCUACGAUCAGUAGCUGAUCUGAGAGGAUGAUCAGCCACAUUGGGACUGAGACACGGCCAAGACUCCUACGGGAGGCAGCAGUGGGGAAUCUUGGACAAUGGCCGCAAGCAUGAUCCAGCGAUGCCGCGUGAGUGAUGACGGCCUUCGGGUUGUAAAGCUCUUUUGUCCGGGAAGAUAAUGACUGUACCGGAAGAAUAAGCCCCGGCAAACUUCGUGCCAGCCGCCGCCGUAA